CCUACGGGAGGCAGCAGUGGGGAAUAUUGCACAAUGGGCGAAAGCCUGAUGCAGCGACGCCGCGUGAGGGAUGACGGCCUUCGGGUUGUAAACCUCUUUCAGCAGGGAAGAAGCGAAAGUGACGGUACUGCAGAGAGGCGUGCA
rnacentral:rRNA from 1 species